rnacentral:rRNA from 1 species
CGACCGGCAGCACGGGUGCUUGCACCUGGUGGCGAGUGGCGAACGGGUGAGUAAUACAUCGGAACAUGUCCUGUAGUGGGGGAUAGCCCGGCGAAAGCCGGAUUAAUACCGCAUACGAUCCACGGAUGAAAGCGGGGGACCUUCGGGCCUCGCGCUAUAGGGUUGGCCGAUGGCUGAUUAGCUAGUUGGUGGGGUAAAGGCCUACCAAGGCGACAAUCAGUAGCUGGUCUGAGAGGACAACCAGCCACACUGGGACUGAAACACGGCCCAAACUCCUACGGGAGGCAGCAGUGGGGAAUUUUGGACAAUGGGCGAAAGCCUGAUCCAGCAAUGCCGCGUGUGUGAAAAAGGCCUUCGGGUUGUAAAGCACUUUUGUCCGGAAAGAAAUCCUUGGUUCUAAUACAGCCGGGGGAUGACGGU